UGUGGUGGCGGACGCCUGUAAUCCCAGCAACUCAGGAGGCUGAGGCAGGAGAAUCGGUUGAACCUGGGAGGCAGAGGUUGCAGUGAGCCGAGAUCAUUCCACUGCACUCCAGCCUAGGUGACAGAGUGAGACUCCAUCUCAAAAAAAAAAAAAAAAAAAAAAAUUAAACCCAAGCCCAUGGGCUACACAUCCCCACCAGCAUGGUGGCAGGACCUCAACUCCCCUUUCUAGCCUCCCUUCCAUCUAGUAUAUUUCUGUGGGUGAUUGGGUGAGGUCUCAGUCAUGGGACCUCAUCCCUCUGGGUCACUGCCUGUCUUAGUUCACUGUGCUGCUGCUUCAGCAGAAAACCACAGUAUAACUUAAAAGAAAAGA
rnacentral:lncRNA from 1 species